AGUGAACGCUGGCGGUAGGCCUAACACAUGCAAGUCGAACGGCAGCACAGUAAGAGCUUGCUCUUACGGGUGGCGAGUGGCGGACGGGUGAGGAAUACAUCGGAAUCUACUUUUUCGUGGGGGAUAACGUAGGGAAACUUACGCUAAUACCGCAUACGACCUACGGGUGAAAGCAGGGGAUCUUCGGACCUUGCGCGAUUGAAUGAGCCGAUGUCGGAUUAGCUAGUUGGCGGGGUAAAGGCCCACCAAGGCGACGAUCCGUAGCUGGUCUGAGAGGAUGAUCAGCCACACGGGAACUGAGACACGGUCCAGACUCCUACGGGAGGCAGCAGUGGGGAAUAUUGGACGAUGGGGGAAAGCCUGAUCCAGCCAUACCGCGUGGGUGAAGAAGGCCUUCGGGUUGUAAAGCCCUUUUGUUGGGAAAGAAAAGCAGCAGGUUAAUACCCCGCUGUUCUGACGGUACCCAAAGAAUAAGCACCGGCUAACUUCGUG
rnacentral:rRNA from 1 species